rnacentral:lncRNA from 1 species
AUUCCGCCGAGUUGAAAGGAGACAGAAUUGAUGUUUCAAGCAAAAACCCAAGAAAUCCACUUGCCUUGAAGAUUCGAAUGAUCUGGGAACGCCAUGUGAGGUAGUUGUCAGCUGCUAGCUGGGUUGGAACCAGUGAUUGAAUCCUGGUAAUGAGAAACUUAAGAUUUGGGGAGAUGGCUGGGUUGGAAAAGCUUUGGGCUGCUUCGUCGGAUCUAUUUAUGGAUCCUGGAGACGCCAUUUCGUCGUCAAGAAGGGUGGGAAGAACUACUUCAAGCUCAAUUGAUUCUGAGGUCAUGAACUCUCUGCAAGGAAGAAGGGAAGGAACUUGACCGUCACAGGUUCAGGAACCUGCUCUGAUACCAUGAU